ensembl:lncRNA
AUGGGGCCCUCUGGGGGAGGGUUGGGGGGAGUGGGGGUCAGGCUGGGAGGAGCUGAGAAUCGCUGCUUCUGGCCCAGCUGCAAGACCUCCUCACUGGUUAGAGGCGGAGGCCCCCACGCUUUGCCUUUCUUCCCUCCCUGUGCCCUGGCAUCCCCGGGGGUGGGAAUGCAUCAGUCACGAUUCUAUCACUCAGCCAUUCAUCCCUCACAGAAUGCAUCAGUCCCCAUGUGCCCGGCUGUCGCGGGACGCCACCAAACAAGACUCAGGAGAGUCACCGUGGCUCUGCAGACAGGUCCCACCCUCAGUCCACCUGGCACCAUCGUAAGCUGCUGUCCCAGCCGUGCUUCUGGCCAUCCUUCACCAAACAGCUGCCUCCUCCCAUCACAGAAGCCUCCAAGAAUAGGAGCAGUGUCCCCAGCACUGGCCUGGCAGCAGGGUUCAUGUAUCUUCAGCGUGGGCUCAGAUUUGUCCUCCUUAAGCACCAGGGCAGCUCGGAGAGAAAGGCAAACCCCUGACAAGACAGUGACCUGGUUUUAAUGAAAGCAUUUCACAGGACUUCAUUCUCUUCAGUCCUUUACCUUAAUUCGGCACUUUGACAGUGGACACACACCAGGAAGCAAAGUGGGGCGGGUGUGUGUGUGUGCGCGCGCGCAGAUGAAACCAAAGGACUGUUUCAAAGCAGGUGUCCGGCCACCUUCGAUUGCUGCUGCCUCCCCGGCCACAGCCGCCACGAGGUGGCAAAGCCAGGGACAAGCCAGGUCAACACAGAACCUUGAAAGGGGAACACGCGUGGAGCGGAAUUCCUCCUGCAGCCCACGAUGGCGUGGAUCUGGCGAAGCCAUUUCCCACGGUUUCCCAGGUAGGGAAGACAGACAAGGAUCCCGGCUGCCGCCGAGGAAGAUGGAGGGGCCGCCGUGGGGCGUCGGAGCUCGAGGCGGCAGUUCUGUGAACACGUCCUGGUCUGUCACACACACUCCACGUGCGGUGCCUCCCCGUGAUGAACUGGAGGGGUGGUCUGGGGCCAUCUGCAACCUCCUGGUGCUGAAAUCCCCAUCGUUCUCCUGGCGGCUCGCCUCCCAGGCGCACGCACACGUGCCGGCCCGGCCUCACCGGCCACCGCACCUGCCUGGUGGGAUUUGUCUUCCCCCGCCUCAUGUGUUAUCGGUUCUGUGUGUCGCUGGGCGCCGCUGAUGUGAGCUUCUCAUCGCCCAGUAGAUCCUGAAGGCCUCGGCUGGGCUGCAGACGCCGAGCCGCUCAAUCACACUGUCGUGGGCCAAGACUUCAAAGGGACACUUUCCAGGGACAGCCCCCACGUUCAUAAAGGGCGCGCUCCCCAGAGAGCCCCAGCCUGAUACUGCUGGUGACCAGAAUUCUGGCCUCAGUGAAGUAAUUUAUUUCCUCUUCACAACAAGUAAACAACCCGAAAAAAUGCCGGCUUCUUACUGUACAUAGUAACGUUGUGUUUUUUAGGAUUGAUGGAAAGUGAUCAUUUGUUGGGUACUUGUUGGUCCAACCACCAGGUUUCUGUAAUUCAGUCACAGUGGAUUGGCCUUGGGAACAGCUGGGUCCUGUCUUGAUGGGUGUACCUGCAACUAAGGACUGGAAUGGCGGAUACAGGUCCUCAUUGCCUGACGGUACUUGAUUCUUGGAAGAGAAAUACCACAGUGGAACAAAUGAAAAACUAUGAAAGUAGCUCUUUUAUUUUGCAGUAAGCAACAUGUGGGUUACAGUUCAAUCAAGUGCAGAUUUCUUAAUCUGAACUAAGAAUCUAUCAACUGUGGAGACAUUUAAAACAUGAUUUUUUUUCUGACAAAAUUGUGAUACAGAAACAAUAUCUUGGGGCCGGUGUUGUGGCAUAGCAAGGAAAGCCGCUGGCUACAAUGCCGUCAUCCCAUAUGGACGCUGGUUUGAGUCCCAGCCUCUCCACUUCUAAUCCAGCUCUCUGCUGUGGCCUGGGAAAGCAGUAGAAGAUGGCCCAAGUGCUUGGUCCUGCACCCAGAUGGGAGACCCAGAUGAAACUCCUGGCUUUGGAUUGGCACAGCUCCUGCCAUUGCGACCAUCUGGGGAGUGAACCAGCAGAUGGAAGACCUCUCUCUCUCUCUCUGUCUGCCUCUCCUUCUCUCUCUGUGUAACUCUGACUUUCAAAUAAAUAAAUAAAUCUUUAGAAAAAAAACA